GGGUGGCGCCGAGGGGUCGUGAAGCUAGGAACUGGGUCGUUUCCGUCCACUCUCUGAGUCAACCCCAUCCUGGCCGACCCUGCUGUUCCCACAAGACCUGUCCGGCCCUGUCCCACCCCCCGCGCUCCAGAGUUAUAGUGUUCGUAUUGGCAGUAAACAAGAAGAUAUCUAGGCUACUAGUUUGCCCCAAGCACGUGCCAGGGACUAAACAAAUCUGACACAGGCGAGAGAAAACAAGUGUAAGUCCCAAGUUCCUGCUCCCAAGUCCGUUUUUAGUGGGCCGGUGCACCCUCAGCCUUGCCCAUGGGCACGGGGUCCGGGGGAUUGGGUCCUAGGGAGCCAGCCUGGGAGGUGAUAGAGCUGCAGGAGCUCGUGCCUGAGGCCUGUGACCUCCAGCUCUCUCCAUCGCCGUUCCCUUCUUGUUCGUGGCUGAGCAAGGACUUAGAAGAGGAGGCGAGAUUUACUGCCGACAGCAUGGCCCCUCUUACUCAUUACCUCCAGCCCGGGGACUUCUUCCUUCAUAUUACUGGACUUUUACAUAAUAUUGGUAUUUACCACUUUUUAGUGAAUUCUACUGCAGAAACGUAAUCGUUUUUAAGAUUCUUAGCAGAGUCAGCAAAGGUCUAUGUUGAAAUAUGCUAUUUAAUGGGAAAGUGUGGAGAAUGGAUUGGACGGGUGUGUCAGAUGGAUGAUAUAGCGUCACUUGUAUAUUUCUUACUGUGAUCCAAGGUUUUUUUUUUCUAGUGUCCUAUUUUAGUAGUAGACAAGUGAAAUUUCCACCCUGUGUUUUCCAGUUCUCCUUGAAAUCUUUUAAUGAAAUUUCCUUUUUUUUCCUUUGCCUCCUUCCCUUCCCCUCAAUCACAAUGAAUCAUUAAGAAGAGAGCCUUAACCCUGAACAGCUGCUCAGCCCUGGGACAGAAGGGUUUCAAGUUCGAUUCCCCGUCAAGGGCACAUGCGCGAGGCAACCAAUCGAUGCGUCUCUCUCUUGUCAUUGUUUCUCUCUCUCUCUUUCUCUGUCUUCCCCCCUUCUCCCUCCUUUCCACUCUCUCUAGAAAUCAAUGGAAAAAAUAUCCAUGGGUGAGGAUUAAAAAAAAAAGAGGGAGAAAGAUCCUUAAGAGGGCACUAUAUUUUGUCUUUUGCAUCAAGGUGAAGAACCUCCCUCCCCAUAUACUUUAUUUUGGAAAUACACUAUUUUCUUAGUCAUUUGGAGAAACUUAUGAAUUUAGAACAGAAAUAGUAAUCCUUAAGCCAAAUAGUAGUUACUGUAACAUGAAACUUUGAUAAAGAGUAGCCUAGCCGAAACCGGUUUGGCUCAGUGGAUAGAGCGUGGGCCUGCGGACUGAGGGGUCCCAGGUUCGAUUCCGGUCAAGGGCAUGUACCUGGGUUGCGGGCAUAUCCCCAGUGGGAGGUGUGCAGGAGGCAGCUGAUCGAUGUUUCUCUCUCAUCGAUGUUUCUAACUCUCUAUCUCUCUCCCUUCCUCUCUGUGAAAAAACCAAUAAA